rnacentral:piRNA from 1 species
GUUGGCAUUUCAAAUAAAUGGCU